GAUGAACGCUGGCGGCGUGCCUAAUACAUGCAAGUCGAGCGAACGGACGAGAAGCUUGCUUCUCUGAUGUUAGCGGCGGACGGGUGAGUAACACGUGGAUAACCUACCUAUAAGACUGGGAUAACUUCGGGAAACCGGAGCUAAUACCGGAUGAUAUUUUGAACCGCAUGGUUCAAAAGUGAAAGACGGUCUUGCUGUCACUUAUAGAUGGAUCCGCGCUGCAUUAGCUAGUUGGUAAGGUAACGGCUUACCAAGGCAACGAUGCAUAGCCGACCUGAGAGGAUGAUCGGCCACACUGGAACUGAGACACGGUCCAGACUCCUACGGGAGGCAGCAGUAGGGAAUCUUCCGCAAUGGGCGAAAGCCUGACGGAGCAACGCCGCGUGAGUGAUGAAGGUCUUCGGAUCGUAAAACUCUGUUAUUAGGGAAGAACAGAUGUGUAAGUAACUGUGCACAUCUUGACGGUACCUAAUCAGAAAGCAACGGCUAACUACGUG
rnacentral:rRNA from 1 species